rnacentral:snRNA from 1 species
UUGCUUCAGCAGCACAUAUACUAAAAUUGGAACGAUAUAGAGAAGAUUAGCAUGGCCCAUGCACAAGCAUGACAUGCAAAUUCAAGAAGUAUUCCAUAUUUUU